rnacentral:rRNA from 1 species
GAUGAACGCUGGCGGCGUGCCUAAUACAUGCAAGUCGAGCGAACAGACGAUGAUCUUUCUCCUCUGACGUUAGCGGCGGACGGGUGAGUAACACGUUGAUAACCUACCUAUAAGACUUGGAUAACUUCGUGAAACCGGAGCUAAUACCGGAUAAUAUAUUGAACCGCAUGGUUCAAUAGUGAAAGACGUUUUUUCUGUCACUUAUAGAUGGAUCCGCGCCGCAUUAGCUAGUUGGGAAGGUAACGGCUUACCAAGGCGACGAUGGGUAGCCGACCUGAGAGGGUGAUUGGCCACACUGGAACUGAGACAAGCUCCAGACUCCUACGGGAGGAAGCAGUAGGGAAUCGUACGCAAUGGGCGAAAGAAUGACGGAGCAACGCCACGUGAGUGAUGAAGGUCUUACGAUCGUAAAACUCUGUUAUUAUGGAAGAACAAAUGUGUAAGUACCUAUGCACGUCUUGACGGUAGCUUAUCAGAAAGCCACGGCUAACUACGUG